rnacentral:rRNA from 1 species
GGAUGAACGCUGGCGGCGUGCUUAACACAUGCAAGUCGAACGAGCCUUCGGGCUAGUGGCGGACGGGUGAGUAACGCGUGAGAAUCUGCCCUCAGGAGGGGGAUAACGGCUGGAAACGGCCGCUAAUACCCCAUAUGCCGCGAGGUGAAAUGAGAAAUCGCCUGAGGAUGAGCUCGCGUCUGAUUAGCUAGUUGGUGGGGUAAGAGCCUACCAAGGCAUCGAUCAGUAGCUGGUCUGAGAGGAUGAUCAGCCACACUGGGACUGAGACACGGCCCAGACUCCUACGGGAGGCAGCAGUGGGGAAUUUUCCGCAAUGGGCGCAAGCCUGACGGAGCAACGCCGCGUGAGGGAUGAAGGCCUCUGGGCUGUAAACCUCUUUUCUCAAGGAAGAAGAACUGACGGUACUUGAGGAAUAAGCCACGGCUAAUUCCGUGCCAGCAGCCGCGGUAAUACGGGAGUGGCAAGCGUUAUCCGGAAUUAUUGGGCGUAAAGCGUCCGCAGGCGGUCUUGAAAGUCUGUUGUUAAAGCGUGGAGCUCAACUCCAUUUCAGCAAUGGAAACUAGAAGACUAGAGUGUGGUAGGGGCAGAGGGAAUUCCCGGUGUAGCGGUGAAAUGCGUAGAUAUCGGGAAGAACACCAGUGGCGAAGGCGCUCUGCUGGGCCAUAACUGACGCUCAUGGACGAAAGCCAGGGGAGCGAAAGGGAUUAGAUACCCCUGUAGUCCUGGCCGUAAACGAUGAACACUAGGUGUCGGGGGAAUCGACCCCCUCGGUGUCGUAGCCAACGCGUUAAGUGUCCCGCCUGGGGAGUACGCACGCAAGUGUGAAACUCAAAGGAAUUGACGGGGGCCCGCACAAGCGGUGGAGUAUGUGGUUUAAUUCGAUGCAACGCGAAGAACCUUACCAGGGUUUGACAUCCUGCGAAUCUUUUGGAAACAGAAGAGUGCCUUCGGGAGCGCAGAGACAGGUGGUGCAUGGCUGUCGUCAGCUCGUGUCGUGAGAUGUUGGGUUAAGUCCCGCAACGAGCGCAACCCACGUCUUUAGUUGCCAGCAUUAAGUUGGGCACUCUAGAGAGACCGCCGGUGAUAAACCGGAGGAAGGUGUGGAUGACGUCAAGUCAUCAUGCCCCUUACAUCCUGGGCUACACACGUACUACAAUGCUACGGACAGAGGACGGCAAACUCGCGAGAGCUAGCAAAUCCCAUAAACCGUGGCUCAGUUCAGAUCGUAGGCUGCAACUCGCCUACGUGAAGGAGGAAUCGCUAGUAAUCGCAGGUCAGCAUACUGCGGUGAAUACGUUCCCGGGCCUUGUACACACCGCCCGUCACACCAUGGAAGUUGGCCAUGCCCGAAGUCGUUACUCCAACCCUUGUGGAGGAGGACGCCGAAGGUGGGGCUGAUGACUGGGGUGAAGUCGGAACAAGGUA